ensembl:misc_RNA 7SK 7SK RNA
UGUGAGGACAGCCUGGCUGUGACAUCUGUCACCUAUGGCUCUCCAGGGUUGUCUGAGCUGGUUUGACUGGCCGGCCGGGCAGGCGUCUCCUUCCUGCCUCAUUGCAGUAUGUGCGUCUCUCCCACAGGUACACACUUGGUAAGAGAGGGUGACCCCUUAUAAGAGGACCGUUUCCUCGGCCAAGGUUAUACGAGUAAAUGUGCUCUUCUGCUAGAACUCCAAACAAGCUCUUAAAAGCAGCAGGCUUUGUAUUAAGUAAAGUAUCGUGUGAAUGUCCAGCGUAGAGCUGUGCUUGGGACAU